rnacentral:misc_RNA from 1 species
GUGCUAUACCUCUCCUUCUCCAACAUUUUAAACUUUCUCGCUCCUAGUUUCCAGCUAUCCAACUCUGUCUAGGCGUGUUUAUAAAUAUAUAGAUUCCGAUCCUACAUGUGUAGUUUCAGUUUUUCAAGGAAGAAAGAGAAGCUGCAUGAGUUUUUGGAUACUCAUUUUGAGUAGAACUCUACUGAGAUCCUAUAUUUAGCACACAAGAUUUCUUAGUCUUAUAGUUUUAAGCCCAGGAAGAAGCGGUAGUGUAUGGAGAAUAUGGAUAAAUAUGAGCUGGUGAAGGAUUUGGGAGCUGGGAAUUUUGGGGUAGCAAGGCUUUUGAGGCACAAGGAAACCAAAGAGCUUGUUGCUAUGAAAUACAUCGAGCGAGGUCAUAAGAUAGAUGAGAAUGUGGCAAGAGAGAUCAUAAAUCACAGAUCACUGAGGCAUCCGAAUAUAAUCCGUUUCAAGGAGGUGGUUUUGACUCCCACUCAUUUAGCCAUUGUAAUGGAGUAUGCAGCUGGCGGAGAACUAUUUGACAGAAUCUGUAGUGCUGGUAGAUUUAGUGAAGAUGAGGCUAGAUAUUUCUUUCAGCAGCUGAUUUCUGGUGUGGAUUAUUGUCACUUCAGGCAAAUCUGCCAUAGAGAUUUGAAACUGGAAAAUACACUGUUAGAUGGAAGUCCUGCCCCUCGCUUAAAAAUAUGUGAUUUUGGAUACUCUAAGUCAUCGUUGCUGCAUUCGAGGCCAAAAUCAACUGUAGGAACUCCCGCAUACAUAGCACCAGAGGUUCUCUCUCGGCGAGAAUAUGAUGGCAAGUUGGCAGAUGUAUGGUCAUGUGGUGUUACACUCUAUGUGAUGCUGGUGGGAGCCUACCCUUUUGAAGAUCAAGAUGAUCCUAAGAAUUUUAGGAAAACAAUUCAGGUCAUUAUAUUCCCUUUUCUGAAUUUGGAUUCAAAGGAUCCAUGAGUUCUUUGUUUCCAUAAUAAUUUCCUCCAUUUCUUCUGCAGAAAAUAAUGGCUGUACAGUACAAAAUCCCCGACUAUGUUCAUGUGUCUCAGGACUGCAGACACCUUCUCUCUCACAUAUUUGUUGCGAAUCCUUUCAGAAGAAUCACUAUUAAAGAGAUCAAAAGGCACCCAUGGUUCUUAAAGAAUUUGCCCAAGGAACUGACAGAGUCAAGCCAAGCCAUUUAUUAUCAGAGAGAUAACCUGAGCUACUCUGCUCAGAGUGAGGAGGAGAUUAUGAAAAUUGUGUCUGAGGCGAAAAACCGACCACAAUCAUCUGUGCCUGUUAAGGGCUUCUGUUGGGGAGCACAAGAUGAAGAGAAUGAAGAAAUAGAUGAAGAAGUGGAUGAAGAUGAAAUAGAUGAUGAAGAUGAAUAUGACAAGAGGGUCAAGGAGGUCCAGGCAAGUGGAGAGUACCAAAUCAGUUAAGUGGUGCAGUCUUUGUUUCACUAUUAGUUAAUCAAUUAGCAGUCUGAAUCUCACAGAACUGCACUUUGUGUACAAUAAUAGGCAAUAAAUUAGUAGAUUUUAGAUUUUGAAUGCUUUAACUUGUAAUUUGUUCAUGUAAUGUACGAUUUAUUUCACCAUGGGCUUCAAACCUACGAGAAAUGAUGGAUGGCAG